UCCCGCAACGAGCGCAACCCUCGCCUCAGUUGCCAGCAUUCGGUUGGGCACUCUAGAGGGACUGCCGGCGACAAGUCGGAGGAAGGUGGGGAUGACGUCAAAUCAUCAUGCCCCUUAUGACCUGGGCUACACACGUGCUACAAUGGGCGGUACAAAGGGCUGCGAACCCGCGAGGGGGAGCGAAUCCCAAAAAGCCGCUCUCAGUUCGGAUUGCAGGCUGCAACUCGCCUGCAUGAAGCCGGAAUCGCUAGUAAUCGCGGAUCAGCAUGCCCGCGGUCGAAUACGUUCCCGGGCCUU
rnacentral:rRNA from 1 species